rnacentral:lncRNA from 1 species
AUGGUACUGGCAAGGGCUGCCUUGUGCCUAUCCACCUCCUUGGCCAUUGGCUGGAAGGCAGGUGCGCACCGGCUGCCUUAUCCGUGUCCAGGUCCACUCCCGCUAUGGCCUUUCACCUCGGUGCACCGUCUAAUCUGCCAGGAUGAAACCGUUCACUUUUCCUCCAAACUCCUCACCUUCUGCAGCUUGGACACGGAGUCGAAGCUCUUUUCACCCUCGGUGGGCAACUUGCAAGUGAAUUUGUCGUCGUCAAAGUCUUUCCGGAGCUUCACCGCCUUCCGCAGCUCCACCGGACUCCGUGGUUCCACAAACCGGGAGCUGGCCCUCCAAGCGCGGCCGCUGGGACGAGGGCGCGAGGCCAGCGGGCUCCCAGCCCCUCCACAGCCAGGCUCGCGCCCAUCGCGGCCGUUAAGGAUGUUGAUUCCUUGCCAAACUGCCAUCGGGAUUGCUCAAUUACAUACAUCUCUGCAAAGGCCAGAUGGAUUGUGGUGAAUAACAGCAGAUUAUCAACUUAACCAGAUGGACAUUCCAAAUAAGCUGAUGUUCAACCUGUCAUUGCUUUGUUGGAGCAAAUUGACGCAUUCUUUGGCGCCUGGUCUAUCAAAGUUGGAAAUUCUCUUGGGUGCAAGUGGCAGAAACUCAUCUCAGACUAACUGGCUGGAAAGAGCCUCGCACCUCCCCACCACGGGGACGAGAAGAGGAGGAGGCCGCGGCGGGAGCAGGGCUUGGGCCUGGCUGCGGUUUGGUCCAGGUCAGUCUCCGGAAGAUGGAGGAGUUCUGUCAAGUCUCAACAAUCUUCACGGCUGUCGCUCUCCCAGCCAGGAUGUGCCAGACUGUUGCAGAAACUGUGGCAUCAGAAAGAGACAAAUGGCACUCGGAGAUGUGAAAUAGCCAGGUUUAUUCAGUAUCGCUGUGGGCUCAGAGGCGUCGCCUCCAGAGUCUGAGCCCCAGGUCUGUCUUCUGGGUAGCUUUUAUACAAUACAGACUUCCCAGUCUUGUUUUUCCCGAGCAAGCAGCCAGGCCCUCCCCCUUCCCCAGCAGACAGUGUUCCUGCCUAAGAAGCUGAGUAAACAAGAUGACAAAAACGAAACUAAUAAGCAAUGCUUGGAGCACUGCUAGCAGAGCUGCUAGCAAGGGCAUAAGGCAUUUAGUUGCUGCAAGAUUACAGGAAGGGUGACAUGGGACCAGCAAAGCUGCUGUCAGGCAUGCAGCUGCCUCCUCAGCUGGUGGGUUGUUUCUUUAGUUAAAACUCUUCAAGACAACUUUACCAUAGCCAACUGUCUGGAUGAUCUGGAGGAGACCGUGCAAAUCUGAAUCUCUCCUCAGCAGAAGCAACCCAGAGGCCCCACCUGUUGGACUCACUGCUGGGCUUGGAGUCAAGGUGUCCUCAGGUGGGCUUGCAUUGGGAAGAGCUGGCGAGAAGCUUAGUCCAAAGCAAAAGAAAAGCAGUUCAAAGUUCAAACCAUGACCAUGUCUUUAUGAUGGAAUCAAAACACAAUGCCAGAUAAAACUAAAAAUCAAAUACCAACAAAUUAAAAAGAAAAAAA